UUACCGUUAAGACCAUCUAAUCUUCACAUUAUCAAAGCAAGUGAGAAUGAGGUCUCUAACAUUUGUGUUCUCAUCUUUUUGCAGAUAAGCCAUCAAGGUUUUGCUAGUAAACAGGUAUGAGAUGAUGUGACAUUGACGUAGACAUUAUUUUCAGAGCUCUUUGUGACUAAUGAUAUUGUUCAGGCUCUUACAGUAACCUAGUGUUAGGCACAUAUGCAGUUAAGAAAUUAAGUUGUCCCUGACAAUCAUAAUAUGCCUGGGAAUUUCUUAUUGUUUAGGGACAAUAUGUUUUGGAUUGAUAGUGGGACUUUCAGACAUCCAGAUAAUUCAUCAUAUUGUCCAUCGCUGUGUUACUUACCGUGGGAUUAUUGCGGAUAAUCCUGCAAGAGAGGAAGGUGGCACUUACUUGGGGCUGACCUCAGAGUUUUGCAAGUUUUCAGGUGUUACUGUUGGGUCCUGAAAUAUGAUACAAAUGACCAAGGGAAUUGGCAGUUGUCCAUCAGGAUAAACUUGUACCAAACGCGUUUUUCGCAGUGUGUUUGUCAGGUUCCUGUCGAGACAUCACGACGAACCUAGCGAUGGUCAGUAAUGGGGAACUUUCUGCAAGCAGGCAGAUAAAAGAGGAUGUGGGCCUAAACCUCAGGCCAUCUGGUCUCCAGAUAGCUAGGUAAGUGAUGAUGUUUAUAACAUUUCUCAAUCCCAUUACGUUCCUGCAGGUGUUGAGGUAAGAGACGAUGUAGCCCUUACCAGUAAUGAAAACCGUGAGUUCUCGCCUUUAUGUUUAGAGAACAUCUAUAGCCCUGUUCGUGUCGAAGGAUGGUUCUUGUACAGGUGAUUGUCAUGGAGUUCACACCCCAGUAGGACCCACGGAAUGUGGCAGAUGUCCAGUUGAUGUGUUCCAUGGUAAUGGGAGUAAAAAGGUUAUGUUCAGGUGUUCUAGUAGCAUAAUUUGCAUUUCAAACCCAUUGUUGCUUGUGCUUUUACAGGUUCUUGUCAAGAGAACACAGUGAACCUUCCACCGGUUUGGAACGCAUCCUUACUAGUAACCAGGUAAGUCAUACAGUGGGUCUUACUACACUGCAGACCAAUGUAAUCCCCAAUAUCUAGGUAAGUGAGGGUGGUGUCCCUAACACUGUGUUACUGUGUUCAUUUGCAGAUACCCUUUUAAGGUCUUUGCUUGCCCACAGGUAUGCAAUCAUGUGACAUUAACUCAAUAGAGACGUUCUUAUUUUUAGAUAGCCGCAUAUUAAUGUGUUUCAGGUUCUAGUAUUCACAUUGUUCUUGGCAUGUAUUCUGUUAAGAAAUCAGUGUAUUGCUAAAAUACUAGUCAGAAUGAGAGUUUUAUCCUGGUUCAGAGAUACUGUAUUUUUUAAAACGAGUGGCGAUAGAAGGAUAUGCAGGUAUUCGGGUAAUUGAGAAUAUUGUCCGUCACAGUAUUAUUGACCGUGGCUUUUUUGUAGGUAUCCCUGCGGAGAGGAACCAGUCUCUUCCUAGCUUUGAGCUUGGAGGUCUGCAAGUACGCAGAUUCACUUCAGGACAUGACGGUGAGUCUGUCAAUAGUAGUUCAUGUGAGACCCUGGUGGUAUGAACGUAAGUGAUGAUGUGGGCCCCAGCACAGACCAUCUGAUUUGCAUAUGCAUGGGCAAGUGAUUAAGUGUUCUAACACUUCUCGUUACUGUGAUUUUUUUUUUUUUUUGGCAAGUAUUCGGGGAAAAAAAAUGAUGGUUUUACCAACUGUAGAAAACACAAGUUUUCACUUUUAUAUUUCAAGAAGGUUUAUGUUGAACACUGUGAGGCGUUACAUACAUACAAGUAUUUAUCUUGUGUUCCCUCCGUAGUACUAUUUAUUUGAUAUUUAGAAGCGUCCGAACACUGACAGUUUUCUGACGUUGUUGCUAACUUUCAAUUACAAGUACUCAGAGUUGGUUUGUUCCAUAAUGAUGAAGUGAACAAUCUUUUUUGCAGGUGUCAUGGUACAAAAAGUUGUUUCCAUUAACCCUGAUUUUGUAACGUGUUUUCCAGAUCCUUGUCAAGACCUCACGAUGAACUUAGCAGCAGUCAUUAAUAGGGGCGGAUAUCCUGUUGAUACGCAGGUAAGGCCACCCGAUCUCCAGAUACGUAGGUAAGGGAUAACAGUGUCUCUAAGAGUUGUUACCAUGAUUUCUUUGCAAGUAUUCGGGUAGGAAUUGAUAGUCCUUUCUAAUUCUAGAAAGUGUGAGUUGUUAGCGUUUGUAUUUUAGAAAAGAUGUCUGUUUAGCCCUGUGAGUGUUAAGGGAUCCCUUUGAGUGUUAAGGGAUAUUUAUCAUGAUGCUUCCGACCAUAGCAAUGACCAUGGAAAUUUUGCAGGCGUCCUGUAAAGAAAUACUGUCUUCCCUGACAACAAUGGUCUUGAUCUUGGAGUACUGCAAGCAUGCAAGUAGAGUUGACGUUCUCAUAAUAGCGAACGUGACCAAGGUGCCUUAGAGGUGUUCUGCUUCCAGCAGGUCACAUCCCUUUACACAUAUAUCAUAAUGUAUUUGUCAGGUUCCUUCAAGAUCCUGAAGCACUUAACAGUGGUCAGUAAUGGGGGACAUUUCUUGUGUCCAGGUUCCGGUCAAGAAAUCAUGGUAUGCCUCAUAAUGACCAUUAACAGAACUUUGCUCGCAGCCAGGUUCAGGUUAAGACAUCAUGGGGAGUAUAUCCAUCGUGGUGAAUGAGGCACAUAGCAGGUAUGGAGGUAAGUGAUGAUGUGGGCCUGAGUCACAGCACAGAUUAUCUGAUUCUAUAUGCAGGUAAGGUAUUAUGGCCCUAACACUUCUUGUUACUAUGAUUUUGUUACAGGUGUUCAGGUAAGAGAUAGUCCUUACCAAAUCUAGUGACCUUGACUUUAUACGUUUUACAUUUUAGAGAUAAACGUUUAACCCUGUGAGUUUUGAGAGCUGAUUGUAUCCAUAACUGUUAAUUUCCCACCCCAGUAGUAACCACAGUGUAUUUGCAGGAAGUCUGCUUCAGACAUGAUGGCCUUCUUCUGAUGAAGGUGUUGACCUGAGUUGAUGCAAACGUCAAGGUAGAGUUGAUGUGCUCCAUAAUAAUGGAAGUGCAAAG